AUUGAACGCUGGCGGCAUGCCUUACACAUGCAAGUCGAACGGCAGCAUGAUCUAGCUUGCUAGAUUGAUGGCGAGUGGCGAACGGGUGAGUAAUACAUCGGAACGUGCCCUGUAGUGGGGGAUAACUAGUCGAAAGAUUAGCUAAUACCGCAUACGACCUGAGGGUGAAAGUGGGGAACCGCAAGGCCUCAUGCUAUAGGAGCGGCCGAUGUCUGAUUAGCUAGUUGGUGAGGUAAAGGCUCACCAAGGCGACGAUCAGUAGCUGGUCUGAGAGGACGAUCAGCCACACUGGGACUGAGACACGGCCCAGACUCCUACGGGAGGCAGCAGUGGGGAAUUUUGGACAAUGGGCGAAAGCUUGAUCCAGCAAUGCCGCGUGUGUGAAGAAGGCCUUCGGGUUGUAAAGCACUUUUGUCCGGAAAGAAAUGGCUCUGGUUAAUACCUGGGGUCGAUGACGGUACCGGAAGAAUAAGGACCGGCUAACUACGUG
rnacentral:rRNA from 1 species